GACGAACGCUGGCGGCGUGCUUAACACAUGCAAGUCGAACGGAAAGGCCCUGCUUUUGUGGGGUGCUCGAGUGGCGAACGGGUGAGUAACACGUGAGUAACCUGCCCUUGACUUUGGGAUAACUUCAGGAGACUGGGGCUAAUACCGGAUAGGAGCUCCUGCUGCAUGGUGGGGGUUGGAAAGUUUCGGCGGUUGGGGAUGGACUCGCGGCUUAUCAGCUUGUUGGUGGGGUAGUGGCUUACCAAGGCUUUGACGGGUAGCCGGCCUGAGAGGGUGACCGGGCAGCAUGGGGACGGAAAUGCGGCCAGGCCCCCGCGGGGAGGAAGAGGGGGGGAUUGUGGAAAAGGGGGCGGAGGCCGGAGGCAGCAACGCCGGGGGGGGGAGGACGGCUUUGGGGUUGAAACCGGCUUUGGCUGGGGAGGAGGGGGGAGGGAGGGAAAGGGAAAAGAAAGAACCGGAAAACUACGUG
rnacentral:rRNA from 1 species